GUGCCGUGUGCAGCCCUGCUGCACUCAGCCCACAGAUGCCAAUGCCGCCAUCUUGAGUGGAGAUGGCAUAGCCUCCCUUUGGCACCAGAAACUCCAGAGGGAAGAGCCUGGGGCAAGGCCUCCACGCAGCAUCCCAGGAGCAAAUAAAGCUGAACUAAGACAAAGGAAAAAACAAGCUAAAAGGUCUCUCUCUGCAAUCCCCAUUGCAAGAAUCGGUAGAUGUGGGGAGCUGGCAGAGCCCUGGAUGGGUGCGUGGAGUGCGGAUCGUCAGUGAAGAUACCAGGACAUAACUCCUGGAUUCACUACUCACGAGUCAAGCCAUGAAAGAAAACAGAAGAGGACACGCAAUACACACGUCAACCAGCUACAACAUGCAGUGCCAAUUCAGCAAGGAUAUAUAAAACUCCAGCUGACCGCAGAGACUAUCACCCCCUUUAGAUGGACACUGCUAUAAGGACUCUGAGGCUUGAGACUAGCAAGAGGGGGGAGGCCCAAUGCCCCUCACCAUCCCAGUUCAUCAGG
ensembl:lncRNA